rnacentral:rRNA from 1 species
UACGGGGGGGGCAAGCGUUGUUCGGAAUUACUGGGCGUAAAGGGCUCGUAGGCGGCCAACUAAGUCAGACGUGAAAUCCCUCGGCUUAACCGGGGAACUGCGUCUGAUACUGGAUGGCUUGAAUCCGGGAGAGGGAUGCGGAAUUCCAGGUGUAGCGGUGAAAUGCGUAGAUAUCUGGAGGAGCACCGGUGGCGAAGGCGGCAUCCUGGACAGGUAUUGACGCUGAGGAGCGAAAGCCAGGGGAGCAAACGGG